rnacentral:rRNA from 2 species
CGAGCGAUGAAACUUUAACAGAACCCUUCGGGGCGAAGAUAAAGUGGAUUAGCGGCGGACGGGUGAGUAACACGUGAGUAACCUGCCUUAGACAUUGGGAUAGCCUCGGGAAACCGGGAUUAAUACCAAAUAAAAUCAUAAUGACACAUGUCAUAACGAUCAAAACUCCGGUGGUCUAAGAUGGACUCGCGUCCCAUUAGCUAGUUGGUAGAGUAAAAGCCUACCAAGGCGACGAUGGGUAGCCGGCCUGAGAGGGUGAACGGCCACAUUGGAACUGAGAAACGGUCCAAACUCCUACGGGAGGCAGCAGUGGGGAAUAUUGCACAAUGGAGGGAACUCUGAUGCAGCGACGCCGCGUGAACGAAGAAGGCUUUCGAGUCGUAAAGUUCUUUUAUAUGGGAAGAUAAUGACGGUACCAUAAGAAAAAGCCCCGGCUAACUACGUGCCAGCAGCCGCGGUAAUACGUAGGGGGCUAGCGUUGUCCGGAAUCACUGGGCGUAAAGGGUUCGCAGGCGGAAAUGCAAGUCAGAUGUAAAAGGCAGUAGCUUAACUACUGUAAGCAUUUGAAACUGCAUAUCUUGAGAAGAGUAGAGGUAAGUGGAAUUUUUAGUGUAGCGGUGAAAUGCGUAGAUAUUAAAAAGAAUACCGGUGGCGAAGGCGACUUACUGGGCUCAUUCUGACGCUGAGGAACGAAA